rnacentral:rRNA from 1 species
AAUCAACGCUGGCGGCGUGCCUAACACAUGCAAGUCGAACGCGAAAGCCCCGAAAGGGGUGAGUAGAGUGGCAAACGGGUGAGUAACACGUGGGUGACCUGCCUUCGAGCGGGGGAUAACGUCCCGAAAGGGACGCUAAUACCGCAUGACAUCCUGCCUUUGAACAGGUGGAGAUCAAAGCUGGGGAUCGCAAGACCUAGCACUCGAUGAGGGGCCCGCGCCUGAUAGCUAGUUGGUGAGGUAACGGCUCACCAAGGCGACGAUCAGUAUCCGGCCUGAGAGGGCGGACGGACACACUGGGACUGAGACACGGCCCAGACUCCUACGGGAGGCAGCAGUGGGAAUCUUGCGCAAUGGGCGAAAGCCUGACGCAGCG